GCGUGCAGGAUGAAGGCCUUCGGGUUGUAAACUGCUUUUGUACGGAGCGAAACAGCUCUCUCUAAUACAGGGAGCGAAUGACGGUACCGUAAGAAUAAGCACCGGCUAACUACGUGCCAGCAGCCGCGGUAAUACGUAGGGUGCAAGCGUUAAUCGGAAUUACUGGGCGUAAAGCGUGCGCAGGCGGUCUUGUAAGACAGAUGUGAAAGCCCCGGGCUUAACCUGGGACCUGCAUUUGUGACUGCAAGGCUGGAGUACGGCAGAGGGGGAUGGAAUUCCGCGUGUAGCAGUGAAAUGCGU
rnacentral:rRNA from 1 species